rnacentral:rRNA from 1 species
UGGGGAAUUUUGGACAAUGGGCGAAAGCCUGAUCCAGCCAUGCCGCGUGAGUGAAGAAGGCCUUCGGGUUGUAAAGCUCUUUUAGUCGGAAAGAAAGAGUUGCAAUGAAUAAUUGUGAUUUAUGACGGUACCGACAGAAAAAGCACCGGCUAACUACGUGCCAGCAGCCGCGGUAAUACGUAGGGUGCGAGCGUUAAUCGGAAUUACUGGGCGAAAAGGGUGCGCAGGCGGUCUUGCAAGUCAGAUGUGAAAGCCCCGGGCUUAACCUGGGAAUUGCGUUUGAAACUACAAGGCUAGAGUGCAGCAGAGGGGAGUGGAAUUCCAUGUGUAGCAGUGAAAUGCGUAGAUAUGUGGAAGAACACCGAUGGCGAAGGCAGCUCCCUGGGUUGACACUGACGCUCAUGCACGAAAGCGUGGGGAGCAAACA